rnacentral:rRNA from 1 species
UGGGGAAUAUUGCACAAUGGGCGCAAGCCUGAUGCAGCCAUGCCGCGUGUAUGAAGAAGGCCUUCGGUUUGUAAAGUACGUUCAGCGGGGAGGAAGGGAGUAAAGUUAAUACCUUUGCUAAUUGACUUUACCCGCAGAAGAAGCACCGGCUAACUCCGUGCCAGCAGCCGCGGUAAUACGGAGGGUGCAAGCGUUAAUCGGAAUUACUGGGCGUAAAGCGCACGCAGGCGGUUUGUUAAGUCAGAUGUGAAAUCCUCGGGCUCAACCUGGGAACUGCAUCUGAUACUGGCAAGCUUGAGUCUCGUAGAGGGGGGUAGAAUUCCAGGUGUAGCGGUAAAAUGCGUAGAGAUCUGGAGGAAUAACGGUGGCGAAGGCGGCCCCCUGGACGAAGACUGACGCUCAGGUGCGAAAGCGUGGGGAGCAAACAGG